UACGUAGGGUGCAAGCGUUGUCCGGAAUUAUUGGGCGUAAAGAGCUCGUAGGCGGUCUGUCGCGUCUGCUGUGAAAACUCGGGGCUUAACCCCGGGCCUGCAGUGGGUACGGGCAGACUAGAGUGCGGUAGGGGAGACUGGAAUUCCUGGUGUAGCGGUGAAAUGCGCAGAUAUCGGGAGGAACACCGAUGGCGAAGGCAGGUCUCUGGGCCACUACUGACGCUGAGAAGCGAAAGCAUGGGGAGCGAACAGG
rnacentral:rRNA from 1 species